rnacentral:rRNA from 1 species
AUACGAUGAAGAGUUUGAUCCUGGCUCAGGAUGAACGCUAGCGGCAGGCUUAACACAUGCAAGUCGAGGGGUAUAGGUUUUCGGACCUAGAGACCGGCGCACGGGUGCGUAACGCGUAUGCAAUCUACCUUUCACAGAGGGAUAGCCCAGAGAAAUUUGGAUUAAUACCUCAUAGUAUAGCAGCUUCGCAUGAAGUCACUAUUAAAGAUUUAUCGGUGAAAGAUGAGCAUGCGUCCCAUUAGUUAGUUGGUAAGGUAACGGCUUACCAAGACAACGAUGGGUAGGGGUCCUGAG